CCUACGGGAGACAGCAGUGAGGAAUAUUGGUCAAUGGACGAGAGUCUGAACCAGCCAAGUAGCGUGAAGGAUGACUGCCCUAUGGGUUGUAAACUUCUUUUAUAAAGGAAUAAAAUGAGGCACGUGUGCCUUUUUGCAUGUACUUUAUGAAUAAGGAUCGGCUAACUCCGUGCCAGCCGCCGCGGUAAUACGGAGGAUCCGAGCGUUAUCCGGAUUUAUUGGGUUUAAAGGGAGCGUAGAUGGGUUGUUAAGUCAGUUGUGAAAGUUUGCGGCUCAACCGUAAAAUUGCAAUUGAUACUGGCAGUCUUGAGUACAGUUGAGGUAGGCGGAAUUCGUGGUGUAGCGGUGAAAUGCUUAGAUAUCACGAAGAACCCCGAUUGCGAAGGCAGCUUACUAAACUGUGACUGACAUUGAUGCUCGAAAGUGUGGGUAUCAAACAGGAUUAGAUACCCUUGUAGUC
rnacentral:rRNA from 1 species